GUAUUUGUUCUGCCCAAAAUCUGACCGCUGAUGUGAAUGUGGUACAUGUAGGUGGGCUGCUUGCAGUGCCCUGUGCAUUCGUGUGUGAGACUGACUUUUGCUUGGAAAUAUCCACUGGAGGAGAAGAUACCUAAUGAUUUGUGCUUGCUUGCUUAGUGACUAUCAAGCUUUCCUCUUGAGAUUAUCCCUGCUUAGAGUAUUUGAGCUUGAUUUGAUUUAAUACCAGUUUUGCUAUGCUGUAAGUCUAAAUAAGUGCAAUGGAGUAAGAUUGGAAAUAACAUCUGUGGGCAAAAUCCCUGAAAGGAAUGGAAAUAACUCCAAAAACCUCUUGUGGUUUUUGGAUAAAUCCUCUAUCUUUAAAGCGUGGGAGGAAAUUGGCAUGUGCGUCCAUUUGUCUAUGCAGAUGUCUAUUUCUUUAUUCAUCAGAAACAAUUGCACACAUGGGCAACUAUUUUCUCUUGCAAAUAGUGGUUACUGUGCAUAUGGAUUCUAGAGGAGUUUUUCAAAAAUAUUUCUUUUAAUAAGACAAUCACUAGCACCUCCUACUUCGGUGUUGUUCUAACAGUUGUGAAAUAUUCUUUGAAUAUUAAUAGUUGUAGAUUACUUAAAAAAAUUGAAAGAAGAUAGAAGAGGAAGUCCUUGAGUGAUGAACAUGAAGUAUCAGUUAAAAGGUUAAUUAUUUUACUAGCAUUAAUAUCUUUUAGAUUUAGUUGCCUAAAAGCAUAAACUUCUAGCCAUCUAGACUCCCUCAGAUCAACCAGACGUGUAAAUGCAUCAAUCCGUGGACUUUAGGGAUGAUGCUGUAAGACAAGGCAGUAAGACAUCUAGAGGGACAUUGCUUCCUUUUGGAGGUGUUUUUUUUCCCUCCAAAUAGCAAGAGAUCUCAGUAAUUCUACCUUUCUUUUUAGGAUGAGCCUGAAAUUAUUAAUUUUCUCUGCUAUAUUUACUGUUAGACAAUAUUUUUCUAUGAAUCAGCUUGUUUCUCUCAGUUUCUCUCAGUUUCUCUCAGUUUCUGUCAAAGCCUGAUCUUGCAGAAUAAGGCAAGUGAAAUGGGAAUGGAGGAAUCAUAAAGAGCACAGAUCUCAGUUUACUGGAUAUUCUCUUUCAUUCAUUGUCAUUGCAAUGUAAUGAGCUGAAUCUAUAAUUCCGUGACCAUCACGUGUUUUUGUUUUUGUUUGUUUGUUUUCUUUUUUGACACAAUCUUAGUUACUGGUUGUGGUCCUUUGGUUUAUUACCAUUGCAAAGUAGGCAGCUGAAUCAAUGACAUAUGAAUCCCUGAUCAUGUUUUUUUUGUUUGUUUGUUUGUUUUGCACAGAACUGAGUUAAUUGGAUGCGGUCAUUGGUUUAUUGUCAUUGCAAUGUAGGUACCAUAACCUGUGAUCUAUGAAUCCAUGAUCAUCUUGUUUUCUUUUUUUUGCAGAGAUCUCAGCUCAUUAGUUGUGGUCUUCGGUUUACUGUGAUUGCAAUGUAGGAAGUUGAAUCUGUGAUCAUCUUGGGUGUUUUUUUUUGUUUUGUUUUGUUUUUUUGGCAAAGAUGUUAGAAUAUUGUUUGUAGUCUUUGGUUUAUUGUCACUGCAAUGUAGAAUGCUGAAUCCAUGAUAUACAAAUCCAUUAUCUUCAUGGGGUUUUUUUGCACAGAUCUUAGUUCAUCAGUUGCGUGCUUUGGUUUAUUAUCACUGUAAUGUAGGAAGCUUAAACUAUGAUCUAUGGAUCCAUGAUCAUCAUGGUUUUUCUUGCACAGAUCAUAAUUUAUUGGAUAUGGACUUUGGUUUAUUAUCAUUGCAAUGUAGAUAGCUGAAUCCAUGAUCAUCAUGGGUUUUUUUUUGUUUGUUUUUUUUGCAGAGAUCUUAGUUUGUUAGUUGUGGUCUUUGGUUUAUUGUUAUUGUAAUGUCAGAUGCUGAAUUUAUGAUCUAUGGAUCCAUGAUCAUCUUGGGUUUUUUGCACAGGAAUUAGAUUAUUGGUUGUGGUUUUUGGUUUAUUGUCAUUGCAAUGUAGUAAGCUGAGCCUGUGAUCUAUGAAUUCAUGAUCAUCUUGUUAUUUUUUUUGCACAGAUCUUAGUUUAUUAGUUGUGGUCUUUGAUUUAUUGUAAUAUAGGAUGCUGAAUCCAUGAUCUAUGAAUCCAUCAUCAUCUUGAGGUUUUUUUUUUUGCACAAAUCUUAGUUCAUCAGUUGUGCGCUUUGGUUUAUUAUCACUGUAAUAUAGGAAGCUGAAUCUAUUAUCUAUGGAUCUGUGAUCAUCUGGUUUUUUUUUGUUCUGGUUGUUGUUUGUUUGGACAUCUUAGUUUACCGGUUGUGGUCUUGGAUUUAGUGUCUUUGUAAUGUAAGUAGCUGAAUCUAUGAUCUGUGGAUUCAUGAUCAUAUUGGUUUUUCUUGCACAGAUCAUAAUUUUUUGGACAUGGACUUUGGUUUAUUUUCAUUGCAGUGUAGAUAGCUGAAUCCAUGAUCAUCUUGUUUUUUGUUUUGUUUUGGGUGGUUUUUUUAUUUUUAUUUUUAUUUUUUUUCAGAUAUCUUAAUUUAUUACUUGUGGUCUUUGGUUUAUUGUCAUUGUAAUGUUGGAUGCUGAAUCUGUGAUCUAUGAAUUCAUGAUCAUCUUCUUAUAUUUUUAGCCCAGAUCUUAGUUUAUUGGUUGUGGUUUUUGGUUUAUUGUCACUACAAUGUAGGAAACGAAAUCUAUGAUCUAUGAAUUCAUGAUCAUCGUGCUAUUUUUUUUAGCACAGGGCUUAGUUUGUUAGUUGUUGUCCUUGGUUUAUUAUCAUUGCAAUGUGGAUAGCUGAAUCUGUGAUCUAUGAAUCCAUCAUCAUCUUGGUGUUUUGUUUUUUUUUGUUGUUGUUGUUUUUUUCUUCAGAGAUCUUAGUUUAUCAGUUGUGGUCUUUGGUUUAUUAUCACUGUAAUGUAGGAAGCUGAAUCUAUGAUCUAUAGAUCCAUGAUCAUCUUUUUUUUGUUUUUUUUUUUUUUUUUUUCACAUGUAUUAGUUCUUUGGUUGUGGCUUUUGGUUUAUUGUCACUGCAGUGUAGGAAGCUGAAUCCAUAAUCUAUGAAUUCAUGAUCAUCGUGCUAUUUUUCUAGCAAAGGCCUUUAUUAGUUGUGGUCUUUUGAUUAUUGUCAUUGUAAUGUAGGAUGCUGAGUCUACAAUCUAUGGAUACAUAAUCAUCUUGGGUUUUUUUAGCAGAGAUCUUAGUUUAUUAGUUCUGGUCUUUGGUUUAUUGUCAUUGCAAUGUAGAUAGCUGAAUCCAUGAUCAUCUUGUUAUUUUUUUAGCACACAUCUUAGUUUAUUUGUUGCGGUCUUUGGUUUAUUAUUGUUGCUAUGUAGGUAGCUGGAGUUAUGAUCUAUGAAUUUAUGAUCAUCUUGUUAUGUUUUUAGCACUGAUCUUAGUUUAUUGGUUGUGGUCUUUGGUUUAUUAUCAUUGUAAUGUAGGAGUUGAAUCUAUGAUCUAUGGAUCCAUGAUCAUCUUGGGUUUUUUUUAGCAGAGAUCUUAGUUAGUUGUGGUCUUUCGAUUAUUGUCAUUGCAAUGUAGGAAGCUGACUCUACGAUCUAUGGAUCCAUAAUCAUCUUGGGUUUUUUUGCACAUAUUGUAAUUUACUGGAUAUGAUCUUUGGUUUAUUAUCAUUGCAAUGUAGGUAGCUGAAUCCAUGAUCUAUGAUCAUCUUGUUAUUUUCUUUGCAGAGAUCUUAGUUUAUUAGUUGUGAUCUUUGGUUUAUUGUCCAUGCAAUUUGGAGGUUGAAUCUAUGGAUCCAUGAUCAUCUAGAUAUUUUGUUUUCUUUUGUUUGUUUGUUUGUUUGUUUGUUUUGUCUGUUUUUUCACAGAUUUUACAUAAUUGGUUGUGGUUUUUGAUUUAAUGUCACUGUAGUGAAGGAAGCUGAAUCCAUAAUUUAUGAAUCCAUGCUCAUCUCGGGUUUUGUUGUGGAGAUGUUAGUAUACUGUUUGUGGUCUUUGGUUUAUUGUCACUGCAAUGUAGAAAGUUGAAUCUAUGGAUCCAUGAUCACCUAGGGUUAUUUUUAUCACAGAUGUUAGUUUCUUAGCUGUGGUCUUCAGGUUAUUAUUAUUGGUAUGUAUGCAGCUGAAUCUAUGAUCUGUGAAUUUAUGAUCAUCUUGUUAUUCUUUUUAGCACAGAUCUUAGUUUAUUGGUCAUGGUCUUUGAUUUAGUGUCAUUGUAAUGUAUGAUGCUGAAUCUAUGGAUCCAUGAUCAUCUUCAUUUUUCUUGCACAGGUUAUAAUUUAUUAGAUAUGGACUUUGCUUUAUUAUCAUUGCAAUAUAGAUAGUUGAAUCCAUGAUAAUCUUUUUUUUUUCUUUUUUUCUUUUUUUUUGCAGAGAUCUUAGUUUAUUAGUUGUGAUCUUUGGUUUAUUGUCACUGCAAUGUAGAAAGGUGAAUUUUUUAUCUAUAGUUCCUAGAUCAUCUUGGUUUUCUUGCAGAGAUUUUAGUGUUUUGGUUGUGUUCUUUGAUUUAGUGUCAUUGCAAUGUAGAUCGCUGAAUUUAUGAUCUAUGAAUCAUAAUCAUCCAUGAGCAUCUUGGGUUUUUUUUAGCACAGAUCGUAGUGUAUUGGUUGUGGUCUGUGGGUUAUUGUAAUGUAGGUAGGUGAAUCCACUAUCUAUGAAUCCAUGAUCAUCUUGAGUUUUUUGUUAUUCUUGUUUUUUUUUUCCUUUUUUUGCACUGAUCUUAGUUCAUAGGCUGUGGUUUUUGAUUUACUGUCAUUGCAAUGUAGGUAGCUGAAUCCAUGAUCUAUGCAUCCACGAUCAUCUUGUUCUGUGUCUUUUUUUUUGUGCACAGAUGCUAGUUUAUUGUGUGUGGUCUUCAGUUCAUUUUCUUUGCCAGGGGGGAAGCUGAGUAUAUGAUCUAUGAAUCCAUGGGCCUGAGAGAAUGUGUGUGCCUGGAUUGAGUGGUCACAGGAUCACUGAGCCCCAAUCAGUCAAAAAUACUUUUUACUUGGCUUCAAAAUGUGUAGAAUUGAAACAAAAUUCUUACCUUUUCCUGAAAAAUAGCUCCCAGCUGGAAUGAUUGAAUAUGCUGAUCAUUGUGCAGAUGAUACAUUUUUACUUUGUCUAUGUAAUGCCUUCUCUCCAAAAAUCAGAACCAAGUGAGGCUUUGUCUAUCUUUUUCUCUAUAUAUUUGCUGGAAGCACAAAGACUGUGUUGCAUUUGUCAUGGAGGCUGACAGAAGGCAUAUGGAUGAUGGUACUCCUUAUUGCAGGCAGUCAUGUUCAGAUGACAGGACCAGAGAAAAAUGGCCAAGCUGCUCCAAUUUUUCAUGCUAGCUGCAUUUGGCGUUUAAUGACACUACUGCAGCAAAUUGGUUCUAUUACACGGAAUAGAGAAAGAUGUUCUGUUUUGUAACGUUUGGAAUGGCUGCUUAUUUAUAUUUAACAUUGCAGGGACAGGCUAGAAACCCUCUUACUCAUUAGGACCAACUUGAUCCUAAUAUACAAAUAUACAGAAAAAUAGCAGAUGCUCUACAAAGUAAAAGCAGUCCAAACAAUUGAUUUUUUAUUUGUAUGUAUUCAGAGUGCCAAAAUGAUGUGGCUGAUCCCGACAAGGCAGAAGAGAUUGAGAUGUAAAACUUGAUGUGAACGGCAAUGCUGAACGUUAGUUCUCAAGGAGAGAGAUCCUCUCAUUGAGGAUUGGUGCAAUGCAUCGCUUAGUUUUUUUGCUGUGUUCAGUAGAGUUUGCUCUGAUUUUCCACUGUUUAGGUAAUUUCUGUAUUUCAGAUUUUUGUCCCCCAUGCUAAUAAUUGUAUGCACACAAGUCAGAUAACAGCUGCCACUAACUCUUAACACACCUGGUACUCAAGUCCAAUUUCCACAGCUCAAAUGCAUUCUCAGUUGAAAUGAACUGGGCUCAGAUCAUCCCCUUAACCUACCUGUGUUACCCUACGUGCUUAAUAAUUAUUUCUGGAUCUUUUUCCAUGUUAAAUUUGAGGGAGCAACUUUUUAAAAAUCUGUGAUUUGAAUGGACUAACUCCGAUAAUCUACAGGAUGGCCACAUGUUGUGCUUUUUGGUUGGUUUUCUAUUCUGGAUUGGAAUUGCUAUUUAUUUUAAUCUAACAGUUUUGGAUUGAUAUAACUGUCCCUAGUAGUAGAUGGUGGCAAUUUUAUAGGAUCUCUCAUGUAUAAAGGACAAAAAUUUCAGCUGUCUCUUACAUCUUAUUUUUUUCUAACUGUAUGAAAUAAAUAUCAUAAAAUCUAUGUUAGUACUGCUGUGUGAUAAAACCUUUAAACUAGGCAUUAAAAUUAUCUCAAUUUUUCUCCUAUAUGUUGCAUUUUUAAACCACAAGCUUUCAGAAUAACUAUUUUACAAAAAAUGUGGUAGAAAAAAAUCUCUACUUUUGGAGGUGACCGUUUAAUAUAACUGCAUUAUAAGUUCUGUCACUCAGCUUCUGACAAAAACCCAGAGUAAAUUAAGAUGUGUAUAUAACUGAGAAAAUCUGACCUGGAUUUUAAAUGGUAGUUGGGCAGUUCAAAUUGGUAUUUUAAUAUUACAGACUGUAUUUCAAUCUUAGAAAAUACUGAAAACGCAGAGCUGUUGAUACCAAUCUUUGUGUUUAUGAACUGUUUCCAGAUCAGUAGAGCUUAUGAGAGUGUCUAAAUCAGUAAUGCAGGAACAGAAAGUUGCACUUUUUUUGUUUUUGACUUGCAGUCUAUAUAUUAUUGUCUCAUUGCUAUUCCAGGCAGAUUUCCUUAAAAAUACUAAGACAAAUGCUAGUUGGGAAGCA
ensembl:lncRNA